UACGGGGGGAGCAAGCGUUGUUCGGAUUUACUGGACGUAAAGGGCGCGUAGGCGGUCAGCACAAGUCAGUUGUGAAAUCUCCGGGCUUAACUCGGAAAGGUCAACUGAUACUGUGCGACUAGAGUGCGGAAGGGGCAACUGGAAUUCUCGGUGUAGCGGUGAAAUGCGUAGAUAUCGAGAGGAACACCUGCGGCGAAGGCGGGUUGCUGGGCCGACACUGACGCUGAUGCGCGAAAGCCAGGGGAGCGAACGGG
rnacentral:rRNA from 1 species